rnacentral:rRNA from 1 species
UACGUAGGGUGCAAGCGUUGUCCGGAAUUAUUGGGCGUAAAGAGCUUGUAGGCGGUUUGUCGCGUCUGCUGUGAAAUUUCGGGGCUCAACCCCGAACUUGCAGUGGGUACGGGCAGACUAGAGUGUGGUAGGGGAGACUGGAAUUCCUGGUGUAGCGGUGAAAUGCGCAGAUAUCGGGAGGAACACCGGUGGCGAAGGCGGGUCUCUGGGCCGAAAUUGACGCUGAGGAGCGAAAGCGUGGGGAGCGAACAGG